rnacentral:rRNA from 1 species
UACGAUGGGGGCUAGCGUUGCUCGGAAUCACUGGGCGUAAAGGGUGCGUAGGCGGGUCUUUAAGUCAGGGGUGAAAUCCUGGAGCUCAACUCCAGAACUGCCUUUGAUACUGAAGAUCUUGAGUUCGGGAGAGGUGAGUGGAACUGCGAGUGUAGAGGUGAAAUUCGUAGAUAUUCGCAAGAACACCAGUGGCGAAGGCGGCUCACUGGCCCGAUACUGACGCUGAGGCACGAAAGCGUGGGGAGCAAACAGG